CGUUGGUUGUGCACACAUUUUUAUAAUGAAACGCUUCAACGCUUAUACUUGGGUCAACUUUUUUUCGCCCUAAUGAAUUUACAAAAAGAGGCAUUCAAUUCUUAAUUGAAAUUUGAACAUGGAUAUAGUGGCAUGUAAUGUUAAAAUUUCAAAACAAUCUUGUCAGAAAAAACUUCUUAUCACGUUAUUAGCUUUUUGUUGUUCAUGAAUUGACUGUAUUAUAGAACACAUCAUUUUAUAUAUUUACCUUUUUGAUGGGUGACACUAAAGAUUACUGGUAAUUAUAAUAAUGAAUAUUCAUGGUUAGUUGCUCCAAUGACAAUGAAAUCAGAUCUUUUUUUAUACCUUUUGUUUUUUGUAUAAGAAUCAAUCUAAUAACAAUUGGUC
rnacentral:lncRNA from 1 species